CCAGAAUGGCGAAAUCAUCGACGCAUUGAUUUCGCCACCUGCAUGUGUAAUUUGGGUCACCGUCGCCGGAGAAUUUAUGGUUUGAAAUUGGGGUUGCAUUCCGGUGGAUUGAUGUGUUUGCGGACAAGAUAGAUGCCUGUUGGAGGGGAUCUAGGGUUUUCGUACCUGGCCCUGGUGGUGUCGCUGGUGGGUCCGGUGGUGGCCUUGGUGCUCCGCCGCAAAUGGCGGUUCUCAGUGGCGAGGAGAGAGGAAAUCAGAAGGCUUUUGGUCUUGGCUUCGGAGGAGGCAGCUAGGGCGGAGCUCGAGGCCUCCACCUAUGUCACUUCAGCCGUGGCGGCGGUGAUUUCACGGCCGUUACAAUAUCGGUGCGCCGUGUGCUUUUGCCCCACCACAACGCGCUGUGCUAGGUGCAAAGCCGUAAGAU
rnacentral:lncRNA from 1 species